GGUGGUUCUCAGGUGAUGCAUCCCAGAAUCGGGCUCCCUUUUCUGGGUUCCAGGUGCGUCACCAGAGAACCGCA
rfam:Myotis lucifugus cont2.875, whole genome shotgun sequence.